UACGGAAGGCAGCAGUGGGGAAUAUUGCACAAUGGGCGCAAGCCUGAUGCAGCCAUGCCGCGUGUAUGAAGAAGGCCUUCGGGUUGUAAAGUACUUUCAGUCGUGAGGAAGGUGUUAAGGUUAAUAACCUUAGCAAUUGACGUUAGCGACAGAAGAAGCACCGGCUAACUCCGUGCCAGCAGCCGCGGUAAUACGGAGGGUGCGAGCGUUAAUCGGAAUUACUGGGCGUAAAGGGCACGCAGGCGGUUAAUUAAGUUGGAUGUGAAAUCCCCGGGCUUAACCUGGGAAUGGCAUUCAAGACUGGUUAGCUAGAGUCUUGUAGAGGGGGUGAAUUCCAUGUGUAGCGGUGAAAUGCGUAGAGAUGUGGAGGAAUACCGGUGGCGAAGGCGGCCCCUGGACAAAGACUGACGCUCAUGUGCGAAAGCGUGGGGAGCAAACAGGAUUAGAUACC
rnacentral:rRNA from 1 species